rnacentral:rRNA from 1 species
AUGCAAGUUUUUAUAGGCGGUUCAUUCUCUAAACUACCAAAACCACUCACUAAACUUUUGCCUAAAGACUUCCCAUAUUAUUUUUGCGAGGAAUGUGUAUUGACUUAUGAAAAUCCGAGGGAUGCCUUGAUCACUACGCCGAUCAUCCAACCUCCUAAGUGGGAUGAACCCUUUGAGAUAAUGUGUGAUGCUAGCAAUUAUGCUAUUGGAGUGGUUUUAGGACAACUGAAUAAGAAGAAACUUAAUGUCAUCUAUUAUGCUAGCAAGAGUUUGGAUGAUGAUCAGAAGCAUUUAGCUACUACUGAAAAAGAAUUACUUGCUAUUGUAUUUGCCUAUGAUAUGUUUAGAUUGGGUGGCCGGGAAAGGUUCUGGGUUGGCGGUGGCUGGUCGAACUGGCGCGGGGAGCGGUGGUGGUGGCGUCGGAAGGGGUAG